rnacentral:lncRNA from 1 species
UGGGGGGGCUUGCAAAUGGCCGCUUGCGGAGGGCGUUCCUCGAGCUCGCUAAGGGGACGGGAGGAAACGCGGUGAAGGGGCGCCGCCGCGCCUGCUUUGCAUGCCGAGACCGCAGCCUCGGCCGUCACCUGAGGCGCUGUCCAGGAAAGCGCCGCUUCCCCUUUUUUCCCCCCCUUCGUUUUCCUCCCUGCAGUUCAGGGCCUUCCUUUGCGGAUAAACUUGAGAGCAACAUGGGUUUGGGCAGCAUCUGUGAACACUUCAAAACAUUUUGAGAAACAAGAUGAAAAAGCUGAAUCUCAUCGCUCUCUACAGCUACCUGGAAGGAGGUUGCGGUCAACACCUGGUACACAAAGAAUGCAAAGGUUUUAGAAGCAUCACAUUCAGAUCAGCAAUUCUGUAUGCAUUUUUAAUCAAGUCUCUCAGCCUUGAAAUAAAUCAAAAUGACUGGAAGAAAGAGAUUUUUCUGCUGGAUCUUAAUGAGUUAACCUCUUCCACCUGCAACAUUUCCUCCAAAGCAAGCACCAAGUUUAUUUUUAUAGCUGAAUUCCCAAAUAGCAGAAGAAGAAAGAAGAUACUAAGAAAAGAUGCUGGCUUUUAAAAAGUGGAGAAAGAGUCUUAAUCUUUGCAAGACACUUCCCUUCAGUAGCUGCCUUAAAAGGGCUUAAAUUCUUCUAGUUACUGCCUGAUUGCCUCACUUCAUCUUACACAUCUUCAGCUGAGAAAAGUGUUGAAGCAUUAGCUUUUUUCUUCAAAGAAGAAUUAUAGCAUGGAACAGGAACGCUGAAAAAUACAAGCUCAUAGUUAUGAUCACGGAACAAUUAUUAUCGACAAUUGUUGACUCUGCUAGUUACAAAUAGUAGAGUUGGUUUGAGACGCAUUUUGGGGAAGACUGAAUGAGAGACAGCUCUUAAAGUUUUAGUAUUCAGUACUUAAUAGUAUAACAGGUGAGUGAAAAAAAUUGGAUGAGGAGUGGAAGGCUAGCUUCCAUACAGACUUUUUUUUUUCUGUUAGCUUCAGGAAAGAAAAAGUGCAUUGUUAGGCAUUAUUUUUGCUUGUAUACUGUAACUGGUUCAUUUCCCCCCCCAUGUCUGAUGUGUAAUUUCAGUUUGCAUUAACACUUGCAUAACUUUGCAUUAUGGUUGAAUGUUGGGACUUUUUUUUCCCUGUUGCAAGUAGGUAUUAUAAACAUUGAUAACUUUCACAUAUGAUAUAAUAAAUAUUUUUUAUUUAUUUUACUGACA